CUUGGCGACCAUAGCGAUUUGGACCCACCUGACUUCCAUUCCGAACUCAGAAGUGAAACGAAUUAGCGCCGAUGGU
rnacentral:rRNA from 1 species